rnacentral:rRNA from 1 species
UACAGGAGGGUGCAAGCGUUAAUCGGAAUUACUGGGCGUAAAGCGUGCGUAGACGGUUGCGUAAGUCAGAUGUGAAAGCCCCGGGCUCAACCUCGGGAAUUGGCAUUUGAGACUGCGUAGCUAGGGUGCGGAAGAGGGAAGCGGAAUUUCCGGUGUAGCGGUGAAAUGCGUAGAUAUCGGAAGGAACACCAGUGGCGAAAGCGGCUUCCUGGUCCAGCACCGACGUUCAGGCACGAAAGCGUGGGGAGCAAACAGG